GGCAACCCUGAACCAGCCAUGCCGCGUGCAGGAAGACGGCCCUCUGGGUUGUAAACUGCUUUUAUCCGGGAAUAAACCCCCUUACGUGUAAGGGGCUGAAUGUACCGGAAGAAUAAGGAUCGGCUAACUCCGUGCCAGCAGCCGCGGUAAUACGGAGGAUCCAAGCGUUAUCCGGAUUUAUUGGGUUUAAAGGGUGCGUAGGCGGCCUGUUAAGUCAGGGGUGAAAGACGGUGGCUCAACCAUCGCAGUGCCUUUGAUACUGACGGGCUUGAAUACACUUGAAGUAGGCGGAAUGUGACAAGUAGCGGUGAAAUGCAUAGAUAUGUCACAGAACACCGAUUGCGAAGGCAGCUUACUAAGGUGCAAUUGACGCUGAGGCACGAAAGCGUGGGGAUCAAACAGGAUUAGAUACCCCUGGUAGUCCACGCCCUAAACGAUGAAUACUCGAUGUUAGCGAUAUACAGUUAGCGUCUAAGCGAAAGCGUUAAGUAUUCCACCUGGGGAGUACGCCCGCAAGGGUGAAACUCAAAGG
rnacentral:rRNA from 1 species